UUAACUGUCGGAGCCACAGGGUCUGAUUUCCCUCCUGCUGAUUUAGAAUCCCUGUCACCUUCUCUGUCGGCACUUGGAUAUCACUCCCGCUUUGAAAAAACUUACUCCUUUGACAAAUAUUUACAAAAGCAGAGAGCUAAUGGGGUGACUAAUCUAUCUGAAGAACCUUCUACAUCCUUUUGCGAUCGAUGAUUCCUACUUGGCUUGGCACGUGUACGUUUGACACCUUUUCCUUGACAAGUAAACCAAGAUUUUGUGGUUUUCGUCGUGGCCUACGGUGUAGAAGAGGAGAAUGAGGAAGAAAAUAAUUUGAAGAUUUGCAGAGAGAAGGGAUUGGAUUUCACCCUGUCGUGGAGUCAGUCCAUUGGGAUAAACCAAGUCACUAAUACCAGGCAGCGGAAGUGACCAAAUUUUAUAUUUUGUGUCAGACACAACCUCAAAACAAAGAGGAGCCUCUCCAAGGACCUGGCCAGAUGCAAGCUUGAUCAAUUGCUAGAAGAGGAAUUACAGGUCAAAGGAUGUCUCCAAACUUCCGCUAUAUGUUCAAGACUCUACUUCAGGCAGUUUUCAGAGAAAUUUCCAAUGACGUGUCACUUGUACAGCAACUGGAGGAAGAGGGGAGACGUGUCUUCAUACAACUGAGGUUAAUAGUGUCACUUGUACAGCAACUGGAGGAAGAGGGGAGACGUGUGUUCAUACAACUGAGGUUAAUAGUGUCACUUAUACAGCAACUGGAGGAAGAGGGAGACGUGUCUUCAUACAACUGAGGUUAAUAGUGUCACUUGUACAGCAACUGGAGGAAGAGGGGAGACGUGUCUUCAUACAACUGAGGUUAAUAGUGUCACUUAUACAGCAACUGGAGGAAGAGGGUGACGUGUCUUCAUACAACUGAGGUUAAUAGUGUCACUUGUACAGCAACUGGAGGAAGAGGGAGACGUGUCUUCAUACAACUGAGGUUAAUAGUGUCACUUGUACAGCAACUGGAGGAAGAGGGGAGACGUGUCUUCAUACAACUGAGGUUAAUAGUGUCACUUGUACAGCAACUGGAGGAAGAGGGGAGACGUGUCUUCAUACAACUGAGAAUCCAGAAACCAGAGCCUCGGAGGAGAUGGAAAUGUGGUUCCUCACUUGCCCCUUUCAAGCCAAGCAAGCAGGCCAGGGACACCUGAGGUGAGGCAAUGACAAGCUUCCUCAGCAGUUCUUGCCGAAAGAGUCCAAGAAUGAAGAUCCAUCUUACCUUCCUUCCCCAGAGACAACCAUCUCAAGAAUCUGGUAUGUAUUCUUCAGAUUACACUUUUAUACUUUCACCAUAUAUGUAUGUAGUCAAAGCAGUACAUCGUUAUGCUUUGCCUACUCUGAAUUUUACCUAGUGCUAUCAUAUUGUACAUAGUCUUCAACUUUCUUUUCUCUUCAAUAUUGUUUUUGAAAUUUAUUCAUAUUGAUGCAGGUAGAGGCAGUGCAUCCACUUUAAGUGCUGAUUGUGCUCAGUUAUGUGAAAAUAUCACAGCUUAUUUAUCUAUCCCCUUAUUAAUGGACUUACAGGUUG